AAAGCAUCUUCCAAUUAUUCUAACCAUGCCCUUGCUUCCCUAUCUCCUGAUUCAUUCUAAGUUCUACUCUGUUGUAGAUAAGGCCAAUUAGCUAUCCUCCCUCAGAGCCACAGAGAUGUAUGUGCAGUGUUGUCACCAUCCUCAGUAGAGCAUUUGUUAAGUGUUGCUGUCCAUGUGGUGUUGAAAUCAGCACCCUCUGAUAGUUUAUUAUUUAUUACCGUCAUGCUGGCUCAUGUGGACAGAUUAAAAUGAAUCAGAUGGACAGAUACUGAGGGAUUUGCAUCCAUAAAGACCUGGUGUAUAGAAAGAGUAAGAACCUGGCUACCACAGGAUUUCUUUUUUACCAGGGAGCAAUGGGAGGGAAGCAGUCUACAGUGCUUCUCAGUGUGCUUCUCUGCUGAGCGAUGACAAGGGCCAGUGGCUCUGCUCUCUCAGCCACCAGAGACCCAUGGCUGUAUAGACACAGCCUUGCCUCCAAGAAACCCCCACCCCAGGGCAAGACACGGGUCCCUGUUGAUAAAGCAACUGAGGGGCCACAAGCCCAGUGUGAGAAGCCACAUCUUGUGCCUUGAGUACACUGAUGCAGAAGGGUCUUUUAUUUUCAGGCAGGUAAUAGGUUCAUAGAGGACAUGACAUGGGAAUGAGCUUUGUCAGCCUUACAUAGGCAUUCCAGGUAAAGGGAGCUGCACUUCAGUCCUGGGACCUCAGAGGGAUGAGCCAGGGUUCAAGCAGCCCAUGCUUGUGUCUCACUUGCAAAGGAAGUUUGAGUUUUGUGCAGGUCUAGUGUCCUGAGCCCUGAGAUAUCUAGGCUUCAGUGAUGUCCAUGGCUACCUUCCCCUUCCCAUAGGAACCGGGCAACAAACGUGUCCUUGAGCUACGAAGCAGCACCAGUGCCCUGCACCACACUCUAGAGGAGGCAGCCUCCCUCUUGACCAUGUUCUGGCAAGCAUCUUUACCAAGCUUCCUUGGCCCUGGGCCACCUAGCAAUGUGGGUGAAUCGGAACUCCUUCAGAGCACAGUGGAGUGCCUGAAAUCCCUCCAGCAGGACAAGAGGAGGAUGGAGAAUUUCAUCAUCAACCAACUGACCAGGACACACGGUAUUCUCCAACAAGCGAAGAAGAAUCUGAAGGGUUUUAAAAAGCUGAGCCAACCAUGACCGACAACACCCAGACUAACAAUGUCAUCAAGAAGAAUGACACCAAAUCCAUCAGUUCCUGGGAUUUGGUUUUCAAUUUAAACAGAGCCAUUGCCAAGGACAUUGAUGUUAAAGUCAUUUUUUCAAAGUAUGGGAAAAUAGUUGGAUGCUCGGUUCACCAAGGUUACACAUUUGUACAGUACAUGAGUGAGUGGCGCGUGAGAGCUGAGGUGGCUGCAGUGGAAAAUGCCAGCAUCAUCUCGGGUCAACCGCUUAGUAAGCCGUGUUCACUUUCAGAUUGCAGAGUUAGGUCCUCUCUGCUCACAUCUGCAUGAUUUCAUCUUUGAAAGCCAGCACCAUCAUAGAAUCUUUUUCUUUGACCAGGUAUAGAGCUUGAGUAUUUAUAGCCAUGUCGUUUCCUUGCUCUCACUGUUUUGCAUGUAGGUAUCAUGUUUUCUGUGCUAAUUUAUCAACUUGAGAUCAAGGCUGCUUUGAAAUAGGUGUUACUUCUACCAGUCUUAACAGAACCAGGCCAAUAAUAAAUUUGCAUCACAUGUAACUUUUCUUUUCCUUGAAAUGGUGUGUAUUUUCCAGGAAAUAGUGUACUAAGUAAAACAACUUUGCUUAUUAUAUUUCCUCAGAGUGACUACUUAUUUUCCUUAUUUUCAAUUUUUAUUUUUGGGAAGGAAAAGUAAAAUGUAGUAAAAGGAAGCAAACUUUGUAGAACUGAAAAAGACUGGUAAUUCAUUCUUUCAUAUGUAUUUAGAAGUCUUAUAUAUCACACCUGUUCAAUCAUUACAAUAAUCAGAUAUGUGCCUAAUGUCCAAGGAAUAAUAUUGCAGUUUGUUCAGAGAGAAUAUUAUAGUCUGAAGUAAAAUUCCAGGUCAGGAGAAAAUAUUUUGUAAUUAAUGUACAGGUAAAAAGUAAAAAUUGGAUAGUCUGUAGAUGUUUUUUCCCCCAUGUGGAAAAAUACAAUCACUGUAUCAGUGAUUCCCUAAAUUGCAUCUCUUCCUGUCCAGAUUCAUAUCUCAUACUGAUUAUUCCACAACAUCUACUUUUGAUAUUUAACAGGCAUCUCAGAACAUACUUCUCCAUUUUCCACACUCCACCCUGCUUCACCCCAAACUUCUUUAUCACAAUAAAUGGAAUCCCUAUGAAUUCUCUAAUUCAAAUAAAAACCUCGCUUUCAAUCUGGAUUCUUCCCUUCCCUUCCCCCUACAUUCCAAAUAUAAUCCAUAAUCAAAUGUGUUUGCCAGUAGAUCCCAAACCCAGCCGCCUUCUAAGUUUGCAAUGAAGGCCAGCUCAGGCAGGCCUCCAUCUCAUAUCGGUGGACUACUGGGAGAAUCCCCUCACUUUUCUCUUUCCACUCUUGCCAGUGCCUUUUAAAAACACGAAUUAGAUUAUGCCUGGUUCUAGACCUUAUCUCACAGAAUCAGAAGUGUGUUUUAUAGUACACCUACAGUGCCCUACCAUCACAUCCUCAGUCUCCUCUCUGCCUUCCUGUGCCAUUCUGGUAAGGCUGUCCACCAGGGUGAGCCUCAAGCCUUCCAGAUUGUUCCUACUUUCAGUGGCUUUGGACUUGCUAGUUCCUCUGCUGGUUGUUUGCUACCUGAUUUACUGAAUGCUGUGCUCAAUAUUUACCACCAAAGGAGGCUGUUCCUGAUUGGUCUAUCUACAUAAAGUCGCCUUCUGACCCAUCGCCUUCACUGUAUGUGCUGUGAUUCAACUCCUCAUCCUUUGCAGCCCUUUUUUGUGUAUGACUGUAUACUUUAAUGUUUAUGUGACCUCUGUCUUGUUCACAUACUUAAAGCCAAAGGACCACAUAAAACAAACAAAAGUAUUGAGCUGUCAAGCAUGCAGAGUGUUAAAGGAUAUUGUGCGCAAUAUCCAAUUUUAUAAAAUAGUUAGAAAAAUGCUUCAGAAGUCAUGGAACUCAUAAAAAUGUGAAUUAAGUCUAAGAAGUAGAUUUUGAGAAAAAGUACAAAAGAUAUUUUACAUACGUAGCUGGUAUUGUGAACCCAAAAGUAAUCAUUAUAAGAAUAUAAUUUUUAUUUACCUUACUCUUGUUCAGGUUUUCAUAUCUUAAAGAUAAUGCUUUUCAUUAGUUUUCCGUUUCUGUUUUC